rnacentral:lncRNA from 1 species
AUUCCUGCAGCCCGGUUUAUGAUACACACACGCUCAGGGAUUGUACUUCCCAGAGAGGCUUCCGCCUGUGCUUGCUCCCGGAAUCUAUUAUCCAUCGUGCUUUUUUGUUGCACACGUCUUUAAAGUCCACCAGAAUCCAACGAAAUGGAGCCUCGAGGAAAAGAAGAGAUUUAGCCGCGAAGGAUUCUGGGAAUGCUGGGCUUACAGGGGCGCCGAUCUUCGCUGGCGCUAGGCGCUUGGUUUCCUCUCCGCAGCUCUCUGCGCACGGUACGCCUGUCCCUCGUUGGCCUUCCACUCAGGGCAAUCACCAGCCACUCUCAGGGUCCUCUUGAGCCGUACUAAAAGUUUGGGAAGACUAAAGGAAAUCAGAAGUCCCUCAGUCUGAACAGGACAGCCGUGAGUGGGUGGCCUGGGACCCUCAAAGUAUAAAAACCUAUCGGCCGGCGGGAACUGCUUCAGUCAUUUCAGGGGCAGUGUUUGAUCAGCACUUCUGCGGGAGGAGAUUCCUGAAUCCUGUGUUCCUUAAGGGCUUCCCUGCUGCAGGCUGGGGAUGUUUCAAUGGACUUUCCCUCGAGCCCUUUGGAAAUUACUUCUUAAGCAAUUUUUCGAUGAUCAGCUCCUUUUUAUAGGCAUUUUGUCGUUAAGGGGAGGGGACUGGGUUACCCAGGAAAUAAGUGAGUAUGGGGAUUCUAAGGCUCCUUUUCAUUUUGUCUUGUCUCUUUCCCUUUCAAUCACAGCCGGUGGCAUUUUUGCCAGUGUAAGUUUCUUAAUUUUGUGGGUCUUCCUAUGAAUCUUAAUGGGAUUGGCUCCAUCGGAGAAGCCACACUCACAAAUGUCUUUGAGCUAGCCCUUCUCUAUAUUGGGCAGCUGUAGUUUGGGGCUUACAGUUUUGUAAGAAGUCUGAAGUGGGUCUCACUGGGCUAAAAUCAAGGUGUCGACAGUGCUGCAUUCCUUCUGGAGGUUCCAGGGGAGAAUCUUUUCUUGCCUUUUCCAACUUCCAGAGGCUGCCUGCAUCCUUGACUCGCAGCCCCUUCUUCCAACUUCAAAGUAGCAACCUCAGCCAGAGUCCGUCCAUUGCUGCCCUCUGUAUGGUUCUCUCUCCUCCGCAGCCCUCUUCCACUUUUAAGGACCCUCAUGGUUAACACUGGGCUCACCCAGCUAAUUGAGGAGAAUCGUUAAGGCCAGCUGAUUAGCAACCUUAAUUCCAUUUGCAAUUUUAUUCCCUUUUGUCAUGUAACCUAACAUAUUCAGAGGUUCCGGGGAUUAGGACAUGUAUAUCUUUGGGGGGUGGUAUUCUGCUGACCACAGCAGGAUUAGAAAACCAGAUGGAAGUGAAUGGAUACCGGGAAUCUAGGAUCCAGCUGGCUGUCAGGCUGGCAGAGGUAUCCCAGACCUGUCAGCUCUCAGGAAAGCUGCAUCCAGAGUGCUUUUUGGAUCACUGGGGGAUACCUGGCCUCACUCUAGACUCACUGCCGUGGUCGUUUCAGAAUUGAAUCCGUGAUCAGGAAAUGUUCCCAGUGUUGCUAAUGUACUCCUCCCACACUUGAGAGUCCUGAAUCCCAUCUCCUGAGAAGAGGCGUUGGGCUCAAGUGGCUAGAGAGAAGUUUCUUGUCAGAGAAAUCUUGCUACCUUGAGGAGAGGAAGCAUAACUAGACUGGGAUGGAUAGGACACUUAGGGAAGAGGAAGUGUUUCAUAUCCCUGGGACCAGGAGGCCAGAAUGAGGCAAACUUGCCCCUCUGUCUGGCCUCCUGUGUUGAGGAGGCCUGAGGUGGCAGAAGGAAGAUGGGAGAAGGGCCCCCAAGAAAGCUCUGGCCAGCCUCAGGCUGUCCCCACC